rnacentral:rRNA from 1 species
AGUGAACGCUGGCGGUAGGCCUAACACAUGCAAGUCGAACGGCAGCACAGAGGAGCUUGCUCCUUGGGUGGCGAGUGGCGGACGGGUGAGGAAUACAUCGGAAUCUACUCUGUCGUGGGGGAUAACGUAGGGAAACUUACGCUAAUACCGCAUACGACCUACGGGUGAAAGCAGGGGAUCUUCGGACCUUGCGCGAUUGAAUGAGCCGAUGUCGGAUUAGCUAGUUGGCGGGGUAAAGGCCCACCAAGGCGACGAUCCGUAGCUGGUCUGAGAGGAAGAUCAGCCAAACUGGAACUGAGACACGGUCCAGACUCCUACGGGAGGCAGCAGUGGGGAAUAUUGGACAAUGGGCGCAAGCCUGAUCCAGCCAUACCGCGUGGGUGAAGAAGGCCUUCGGGUUGUAAAGCCCUUUUGUUGGGAAAGAAAUCCAUCUGGUUAAUACCCGGGUGGGAUGACGGUACCCAAAGAAUAAGCACCGGCUAACUUCGUGCCAGCAGCCGCAGUAA